UACGGGGGGUGCAAACGUGCUCGGAAUUAUUGGGCGUAAAGCGCGUGUAGGCGGCUUUGCAAGUCGGGUGUGAAAGCCCUCAGCUCAACUGAGGAAGUGCGCCCGAAACUGCAGAGCUUUGAGUGCCGGAGAGGGUGGCGGAAUUCCCCAAGUAGAGGUGAAAUUCGUAGAUAUGGGGAGGAACACCGGUGGCGAAGGCGGCCACC
rnacentral:rRNA from 1 species